rnacentral:rRNA from 1 species
AUUGAACGCUGGCGGCGUGCCUAACACAUGCAAGUCGAGCGGAUGAAGUAUGGAGCUUGCUCUAUAUGGAUUCAGCGGCGCACGGGUGAGUAACGCGUGGAUAAUCUACCCCUGAGUUUGGGAUACCAGUUGGAAACGACUGUUAAUACCGGAUAAUAUGUCUUUUUUAUCGGAGGCGUCAAAGGCGGUGUAAGCUGUCGCUUGGGGAUGAGUCCGCGUUUCAUUAGGUAGUUGGUGAGGUAAUGGCUCACCAAGCCUGCGAUGAAUAGCCGGCCUGAGAGGGUGAACGGCCACACUGGGACUGGAACACGGCCCAGACUCCUACGGGAGGCAGCAGUGGGGAAUAUUGCGCAAUGGACGAAAGUCUGACGCAGCGACGCCGCGUGAGGGAUGAAGGCCUUCGGGUCGUAAACCUCUGUCAGGAGGGAAGAAACAGUCACGUAGUAACUGACGUGGCCUUGACGGUACCUCCAAAGGAAGCACCGGCUAACUCCGUGCCAGCAGCCGCCGUAAGAC